rnacentral:lncRNA from 1 species
GACAGUAACUUCGUGUAGAUCUCUCUGGUUGGCUUGGUGCCCAAGAGCACCAUGGGAAAGACCUUGGCAGUUGGGAUUCAGAUACUGUCAGUUGUAACUGAUGGGCUAAGCUUGGGACUUUACUGAUGAGUCAAGUUCCUGAGAAAAAAAAAGCAACCAAAGUAAGGAGCCAGCCAUGGUGGGCAGACAGUUACUUGUCCAUGGUGUAGACUGUGCUCGCUGCUGAGGGGCAGGGCAGGCCUGUGACAGACACAGCACCCUUCACGCUGAAGUGGCCUGAUUUACAGAGGGUCUUCACCCCCACCUGCAUAGUCACAGGGCAGAAAAGAAACACAUUUUGGCAGAGAAGAGUGGGAUAGGAGGAGGUGGCCACGGAGCCUGAAGCAGAAAGACACAGAUGCCCAGAUAGUGGAACGCCACAUGGUGACUGAGUUAAUUUCAUCAGAAAGAGAAGGACGGUGGGAAACCCUGCCACCACGCUACAGAGGAAUUUUCCUCAGCCGUCUACAGCGUCCAAGUUUGCUUCUACUAAAUUGAUAUGUUCUGUCUAAUGAAACAAUGUACCAGGAGACCAUGCAGCAUUUGCCAGUGAGGAGAACGGGGCAGCAGAAAGAGAAGCUUCCUGCCACUUCACACAAUUUUGUGAUUUUUGUGUGUAUGAGAUUUGAAUCAUAUUAAUUCUGUCCAGCUGAUUGACAGAGCCACUGACUGCAACUUAAUAGGGUCCUCAUGGAUCCACAGGAGAAGAGGUGGCAGGCUGCAUUCCUCUAUGAGACAACACUUUCUCUUGGAGUCCCAGCCUCUGCUGAGUUAGAGGGCAGCUUCGGGAGAGUCCCUCUGGGGAUGCACAGGCAUACCGGCAUGCCUUCUUCAGCCACACAUUUGUGAAGACGAGUGUUUGAGAAAACCACCACAUAGCUAUCAGUUCACUUUACAAGGCUAACCCAGACUAGGAUCCAGAGAGAUUCUUUGCUGAAUGGCUGCUUCUACAGAAGGAACCCCCAUGAAAUGUCUGAGCUUUAGAUCUGCCAGCCCAGUACCAUUUUUGAUCUCUGAUGGGCAUGAGGGGUGAGCACUAUGAGGAAAAAGUUGAGAUUUUUGUCUUCUCCCUUCUGUUUCCUAUCGGUUUCUCUCCCAGAUGAUGGCAGUGGUAUCUGAGCACCAAGCGUUUGUUUAGUACAGGGCUGAGCAUCUCAUUUUACAAAUGAGCUGACUGAAGUACCAAGACAUUCCUCAUGGACUGGACAUUGUAGCGCUCAGGGCUUCAGAGCGUUUUUGUAUAAUGCUUGUAUUUCGUGUCUUCAAGGAAUAGUCUGUGCUUUGGUGUAUUCCCUUGCUGAAUACAGUGACCCUACACCCCUCCCCAGAUGCAAGCAUGUAAACAUACACACACAUACACACACACACACGGCCCUGUAUGUUCCAAGGAACCACGUACCUAUGUCUGUCUCUCCACCUUGAACUCUAAGAUUUCUUGGACAUGAACCUUGCAGUCCAAAUGCUAGGUCACAUGUGCUCCACGUUGUCACUUGGCAGCAUACCUUCUUGCUUGGCCCAAAGGCCCAGAUCCUCUUUUUUUUUUUUUUUUCCUUCAGACAUUUCACAAAUGCCACUGCUUCGAGAUAUUCCUGAAGUUCCAGAGUUUUAUGUGACUUGCCAGUUUUGUUGUGCAAUGGGAGGCAGGGCAGAAAAUCUUAAGCUUGAUAAUGGGCACGGUCCUGUGAACUGCUAAGGUGUGCUCACAGCCCUGAGAGUUAGCGCUCAUGGGAUGCUUCAGGUAUAGCACAAUGUCCGUGGCUAAUUACGUCUUUCUAGUGAGCCGUUGGAUUGCUGCUGCUGCUGCUGCUGCUGCUGCUGCUGCUGCUGCUGAGAUGCAAGCCCAGCUUUCCAAAAGAGAAGCCAAGGCCUUUUAUUUUCUCUCAUGCUGCUGUGUUGUUUUCUGAUCAUCAAGAAUAGAAAAAGAAUCAGAUCACCCUCCAAAGGGAAGGUUAAGAUGAUUCACCCAAAUCAGGCUCCCAGGGUGAGGGGUUCAGUGUGGGGCACUGUAAAUAGAAGAGACUACACCUCUCUGAAGAUGUGCUGUGCUCUGUGGGGAGGCCGCUAGGAGCUCCCUGUUUAUCCGGGCACCAGGAUCUCACUGUUUGGGUGUUCUUGCUGUGUAUGUCACCUUGUGUCCUGGGGCUGCAGGUCCACAAGUCCUCUACAAGAGGAAAAAUCCUGCAGGCAGGGUCAGUGUCUGCUAAAGGUAAAGACAUGACCCAUUUGACCAAGUAAGCCAUACAAGAGGAUAUACAGGGGACCCCCUCCAUGCCCAGGAACGUGCAAAGACUUUAUAGGGACACGAGGGGAUCUAGGCAGAGAGGAAGGACUAGAAAGGAAAACUGUGGAUGCAGAAGACAGAAAUGUUUAGAAAAGAAAGGCUGGACACUGGGGAUGUGCUAGGGGAGGUCCCAUAAAUGCACCAAGGAAAUGAAGCCAAGGGCAGCCUGUGGCUGGGUCCCGUCUGUGUCCCAUAGUGCUUCAGUCCACCCACCACAGAGUCAGACCCCUGCCUUUGGAUGCA